UUGCCCGUUGGUCAAGGGGUUAAGACGCCGCGUUCUCAGCGCGGAAACACGGGUUCGAAUCCCGUACGGGUGAG
rnacentral:tRNA from 9 species